GAUGAACGCUAGCGGCAGGCUUAAUACAUGCAAGUCGAGGGGCAGCAUGAGUAGCAAUACUUGAUGGCGACCGGCAAACGGGUGCGGAACACGUACGCAACCUUCCCAAAACUGGUGAAUAGCCUUUCGAAAGAGAGAUUAAUACACCGUAACAUAAUGAAGUGGCAUCACUUUAUUAUUAUAGCUCCGGCGGUUUUGGAUGGGCGUGCGCCUGAUUAGGUAGUUGGCGGGGUAACGGCCCACCAAGCCUACGAUCAGUAACUGGUGUGAGAGCACGACCAGUCACACGGGCACUGAGACACGGGCCCGACUCCUACGGGAGGCAGCAGUAAGGAAUAUUGGUCAAUGGACGAAAGUCUGAACCAGCCAUGCCGCGUGAAGGAUUAAGGCCCUCUGGGUUGUAAACUUCUUUUAUAGGGGACGAAAAAAGGGAAUUCUUUCCCACUUGACGGUACCCUAGGAAUAAGCACCGGCUAACUCCGUGCCAGCCGCCGCCGUAA
rnacentral:rRNA from 1 species